UAGAGUUUGAUCCUGGCUCAGGAUCCUUUCUAGCUACAGGCUUAACACAUGCAAGUCGAGGGGCAGCAUGUUGGUUGCUUGCAACCGAUGAUGGCGACCGGCGCACGGGUGAGUAACGCGUAUCCAACCUUCCCAUAACUCAGGGAUAGCCCAGUGAAAACUGGAUUAAUACCUGAUGUUCCCGAGAGAUGGCAUCUGACCUUGGGCAAAGAUUCAUUGGUUAUGGAUGGGGAUGCGUCUGAUUAGGUAGUAGGCGGGGUAACGGCCCACCUAGCCAUCGAUCAGUAGGGGUUCUGAGAGGAAGGUCCCCCACAUUGGAACUGAGACACGGUCCAAACUCCUACGGGAGGCAGCAGUGAGGAAUAUUGGUCAAUGGGCGAGAGCCUGAACCAGCCAAGUAGCGUGCAGGAUGACGGCCCUAUGGGUUGUAAACUGCUUUUGUUGGGGAAUAAAGUCAGGUACGUGUACCUGUUUGUAUGUACCCUUCGAAUAAGGACCGGCUAAUUCCGUGCCAGCAGCCGCGGUAAUACGGAAGGUCCGGGCGUUAUCCGGAUUUAUUGGGUUUAAAGGGAGCGUAGGCGGGCCUGUUAAGCGUGUUGUGAAAUGUCGGGGCUCAACCUUGGCACUGCAGCGCGAACUGGCGGUCUUGAGUGCGGUGGAAGUAGGCGGAAUUCGUCGUGUAGCGGUGAAAUGCUUAGAUAUGACGAAGAACUCCGAUUGCGAAGGCAGCUUACUGUAGCGUAACUGACGCUGAUGCUCGAAAGUGCGGGUAUCGAACAGGAUUAGAUACCCUGGUAGUCCGCACGGUAAACGACGGAU
rnacentral:rRNA from 1 species